rnacentral:rRNA from 1 species
GUGGGGAAUCUUGCGCAAUGGGCGAAAGCCUGACGCAGCCAUGCCGCGUGAAUGAUGAAGGUCUUAGGAUUGUAAAAUUCUUUCACCGGGGACGAUAAUGACGGUACCCGGAGAAGAAGCCCCGGCUAACUUCGUGCCAGCAGCCGCGGUAAUACGAAGGGGGCUAGCGUUGCUCGGAAUUACUGGGCGUAAAGGGCGCGUAGGCGGACAGUUUAGUCAGAGGUGAAAGCCCAGGGCUCAACCUUGGAAUUGCCUUUGAUACUGGCUGUCUUGAGUACGGGAGAGGUGAGUGGAACUCCGAGUGUAGAGGAGAAAUUCGUAGAUAUUCGGAAGAACACCAGUGGCGAAGGCGACUCACUGGCCCGUUACUGACGCUGAGGCGCGAAAGCGUGGGGAGCAAACAGGAUUAGAAACCCCGGUAGUCC